GAUGAACGCUGGCGGCGUGCCUAAUACAUGCAAGUCGAGCGAACGGACGAGAAGAUUGCUUCUCUGAUGUUAGCGGCGGACGGGUGAGUAACACGUGGAUAACCUACCUAUAAGACUGGGAUAACUUCGGGAAACCGGAGCUAAUACCGGAUGAUAUUUUGAACCGCAUGGUUCAAAAGCGAAAGACGGUCUUGCUGUCACUUAUAGAUGGAUCCGCGCUGCAUUAGCUAGUUGGUAAGGUAACGGCUUACCAAGGCAACGAUGCAUAGCCGACCUGAGAGGGUGAUCGGCGACACUGGAACGUGGACACGGUCCAGGCUCCUACGGGAGGCAGCAGUAGGGAAUCUUCCGCAGUGGGCGAAAGCCUGACGGAGCAACGCCGCGUGAGUGAUGAAGGUCUUCGGAUCGUAAAACUCUGUUAUUAGGGAAGAACAUAUGUGUAAGUAACUGUGCACAUCUUGACGGUACCUAAUCAGAAAGCCACGGCUAACUACGUG
rnacentral:rRNA from 1 species